GCUGAAAUGAGUUAAGACUUUGGGGGACUGUUGGGAAGUAUUACACAGAAAGAAUUACCUAGCUGGUCCAGAGUAAAUAUUUAUACAUGCUUAGGUGGAAGAGGUUUUGCCAACACAGUAAGAUCAUUGAGCAACUUUAUCCUCUUUACAAAAUCAAGCCAAAAUAUGAUCCGUGGCAAAAGAAGCUUUUGACUAAAUUAAAAGAAUGGAGAAGAACAGAUGUGUUAUUGUAACUCCAGGAAGUUUUUCAAGAGACUGCUUUAAAUAUGUCCCAGAGAUUCCCAAUGCGAAGAAACUAAAG